ACGUUCAUAGCUCAGUUGGUUAGAGCACCACCUUGACAUGGUGGGGGUCGUUGGUUCGAGUCCAAUUGAACGCACCA
rnacentral:tRNA from 1 species